UUAAAUUGAAGAGUUUGAUCAUGGCUCAGAUUGAACGCUGGCGGCAGGCCUAACACAUGCAAGUCGAACGGUAACAGGAAGAAGCUUGCUUCUUUGCUGACGAGUGGCGGACGGGUGAGUAAUGUCUGGGAAACUGCCUGAUGGAGGGGGAUAACUACUGGAAACGGUAGCUAAUACCGCAUAACGUCGCAAGACCAAAGAGGGGGACCUUCGGGCCUCUUGCCAUCGGAUGUGCCCAGGUGGGAUUAGCUUGUUGGUGGGGUAACGGCUCACCAAGGCGACGAUCCCUAGCUGGUCUGAGAGGAUGACCAGCCACACUGGAACUGAGACACGGUCCAGACUCCUACGGGAGGCAGCAGUGGGGAAUAUUGCACAAUGGGCGCAAGCCUGAUGCAGCCAUGCCGCGUGUAUGAAGAAGGCCUUCGGGUUGUAAAGUACUUUCAGCGGGGAGGAAGGGAGUAAAGUUAAUACCUUUGCUCAUUGACGUUACCC
rnacentral:rRNA from 1 species